rnacentral:misc_RNA from 1 species
GCAAACUUGGUCAUUUAGAGGAAGUAAAAGUCGUAACAAGGUUUCCGUAGGUGAACCUGCGGAAGGAUCAUUAGAGAAUUGUACCAAAAACAUAUGGACAAUCCAUCCAUAUCCCACCUUGUGUGCACCCAUUGAAACCAUGCUUUGGGAGGUUUCUCCUCUGUUGGAGAGAAGAGAUACUCAAGCCUCCCAAGGUUUUUUGUUCUCGCAACACUUUUUUUUUUUUUUCCUGAAAAAUCAAACAUAAUUAAUAAUAAAAUACAACUUUCAACAACGGAUCUCUUGGCUCUCGCAUCGAUGAAGAACGCAGC